AUACAGCUGACGAGUUCUAAAUAGAAUGAAACGCGCGUGCUGGAU
rnacentral:hammerhead_ribozyme from 1 species